UAAAAACACAAAAAGAUCUUCGCAAUUGGGAUACGACUAUCUAUUAAAUAGUAGCAAACUUUUCAAUUGGUUUCCACAUUCGUUUAGUCAUCAACAGUUCCAUAUAGCAAAUUCGACAUAUCUUAAUUGGUCUAUGGAAAAUAAUUUACUAUUUGCAAAAAAACAUAACUUGAAUAUCAACACCGGUUACGCAGUAUCUCCGAAACAUUCCGGCAUUUACCCAAUUUAUAAUAAUUUGUUUAAAUAUUGGAAUAAAAUAUUUAAUAUAACAGUCACCAGCACUAUUAAUUACCCUAAUAUGUAUCCUAAAUCUCAAAGAAAAGGU